rnacentral:rRNA from 1 species
GACGAACGCUGGCGGCGUGCUUAACACAUGCAAGUCGAACGGAAAGGCUCCAGCUUGCUGGAGUACUCGAGUGGCGAACGGGUGAGUAACACGUGGGUAAUCUGCCCUGCACUCUGGGAUAAGCCUGGGAAACUGGGUCUAAUACUGGAUAUGACCUUUCUCCUUAUGGGGUUUGGUGGAAAGUUUUUCGGUGUAGGAUGAGCCCGCGGCCUAUCAGCUUGUUGGUGGGGUGAUGGCCUACCAAGGCGACGACGGGUAGCCGGCCUGAGAGGGUGAUCGGCCACAUUGGGACUGAGAUACGGCCCAGACUCCUACGGGAGGCAGCAGUGGGGAAUAUUGCACAAUGGGCGGAAGCCUGAUGCAGCGACGCCGCGUGAGGGAUGACGGCCUUCGGGUUGUAAACCUCUUUCAGCAGGGACGAAGCGUAAGUGACGGUACCUGGAGAAGAAGCACCGGCUAACUAUGUG